rnacentral:rRNA from 1 species
UACGGGGGGAGCAAGCGUUGUUCGGAUUUAUUGGGCGUAAAGGGCGCGUAGGCGGCCACCGCAAGUCAGUUGUGAAAUCUCUGGGCUUAACCCAGAAAGGUCAACUGAUACUGUGGGGCUAGAGUGCAGAAGGGGCAACUGGAAUUCUCGGUGUAGCGGUGAAAUGUGUAGAUAUCGAGAGGAACACCUGCGGCGAAGGCGGGUUGCUGGGCUGACACUGACGCUGAAGCGCGAAAGCUAGGGGAGCGAACGGG